rnacentral:rRNA from 1 species
CAGCCGCCGCGGUAAAACCAGCAGCCCAAGUGGUGGUCCCGAUUAUUGGGCCUAAAGCGCUCGUAGCCGGGCCGGUAAGUCCCUUGUGAAAUCGGACGGCCUAACCGUUCGGCGUGCAAGGGAUACUGUCGGUCUUGAGGCCGGGAGACGUCCGAGGUACUCCGGGGGUAGCGGUGAAAUGUUCUGAUCCUCGGGGGACCACCGGUGGCGAAGGCGUUCGACGAGAACGGGCCUGACGGUGAGGGGCGAAGGCUAGGGGAGCAAACGGGAUUAGAUACCCGCGUAGUCCCUGUCUCUUAUA